AACGAACGCUGGCGGCAUGCCUAACACAUGCAAGUCGAACGAAUGGUUUCGGCCAUUAGUGGCGCACGGGUGAGUAACGCGUGGGAAUCUGCCCAGCAGUGGGGGGAUAACCUCUGGAAACGGAGGCUAAUACCGCAUACGCCCCUCGGGGGAAAGGCUUGCUGCUGCUGGAGGAGCCCGCGUCGGAUUAGGUAGUUGGUGGGGUAACGGCCUACCAAGCCUGUGAUCCGUAGCUGGUCUGAGAGGAUGAUCAGCCACACUGGGACUGAGACACGGCCCAGACUCCUACGGGAGGCAGCAGUGGGGAAUAUUGGACAAUGGGCGGAAGCCUGAUCCAGCCAUGCCGCGUGAGUGAAGAAGGCCUCGG
rnacentral:rRNA from 1 species